AGGACGAACGCUGGCGGCGUGCCUAACACAUGCAAGUCGAACGGGGCCGGGGGCAACUCCGGUUCAGUGGCGGACGGGUGCGUAACACGUGAGGAACAUGACUUUCGGCGGGGGAUAGCCGGCCCAACGGCCGGGUAAUACCGCGUACGACCCUUGGAGACAUCUCCGUUGGGUGAAAGCAGCAAUGCACCGAAAGAGUGCCUCGCGGCCUAUCAGCUAGUUGGUGGGGUAAUGGCUCACCAAGGCGACGACGGGUAGC
rnacentral:rRNA from 1 species